rnacentral:tRNA from 1 species
GUGGGUGUAGCUCAGUUGGUUAGAGCGUCAGACUGUGGAUCUGAAUGUCGGGGGUUCGAGUCCCCUCACCCACC